rnacentral:lncRNA from 1 species
AACAAUAACCACAACAAUAACACAAACAUUUUACUUAUCUCAACAAAAACAACAACAUGACUAAAAAAAGCGUCAACAAUAAUACAAAACUUUUACUUAUAUAAAAACAACAACAUAACUCAACAAAAACAACAAUAUGACUAACAAAAAACCACAACAAUAACAUAAACCUUUUACUUAUAUAAACAAAAACAACUUAAAACAUUUAAUCUAAUCUUAACAACAACAAAAACAACUCUAAAUCUUUUAUUACCUCAACAAAAACAACAAAAC